GCCGGCAUGGCGUAGUGGCUUGAGUGUUGGACUAUGGUGCCGGAGACCAGGGUUCAAAUCCCAACUUGGUCA